rnacentral:rRNA from 1 species
GUUGGUAAUCAGGUGUUGAGUGUAAGUGCACAAGGGAGCUUGACUGUGAGACCGACGGGUCGAGCAGGGACGAAAGUCGGGACUAGUGAUCCGGCGGUGGCUUGUGGAAGCGCCGUCGCUCAACGGAUAAAAGGUACCCCGGGGAUAACAGGCUGAUCUUCCCCAAGAGUCCAUAUCGACGGGAUGGUUUGGCACCUCGAUGUCGGCUCGUCGCAUCCUGGGGCUGGAGUCGGUCCCAAGGGUUGGGCUGUUCGCCCAUUAAAGCGGUACGCGAGCUGGGUUUAGAACGUCGUGAGACAGUUCGGUCCCUAUCCGCUGUGCGCGUAGGAAUAUUGAGAAGGGCUGUCCCUAGUACGAGAGGACCGGGACGGACGAACCUCUGGUGUGCCAGUUGUUCUGCCAAGGGCAUGGCUGGUUGGCUACGUUCGGGAGGGAUAACCGCUGAAAGCAUCUAAGCGGGAAGCCUGCUUCGAGAUGAGUAUUCCCACCUCCUUGAGAGGGUAAGGCUCCCAGUAGACGACUGGGUUGAUAGGCCGGAUAUGGAAGCCCUGUAAGGGGUGGAGUUGACCGGUACUAAUAGGCCGAGGGCUUGUCCUCAGUUG